rnacentral:rRNA from 1 species
AAUCAACGCUGGCGGCGUGCCUAACACAUGCAAGUCGAACGCGAAAGGGGAGCAAUCCCUGAGUAGAGUGGCAAACGGGUGAGUAACGCGUGGGUGACCUGCCCUUGAGUGGGGGAUAACGUUCCGAAAGGGACGCUAAUACCGCAUAACAUCCUGGGUUUGAACAACUGGAGAUCAAAGCUGGGGAUCGCAAGACCUGGCGCUUGAGGAGGGGCCCGCGUCCGAUUAGCUAGUUGGUGGGGUAAAGGCCUACCAAGGCGACGAUCGGUAUCCGGCCUGAGAGGGCGGACGGACACGCUGGGACUGAGACACGGCCCAGACUCCUACGGGAGGCAGCAGUAGGGAAUCUUCCGCAAUGGACGAAAGUCUGACGGAGCAACGCCGCGUGAACGAUGAAGGCCUUCGGGUCGUAAAGUUCUGUUGUUAGGAAGAACAAGUACCAGAGUAACUGCUGGUACCUUGACGGUACCUAACCAGAAAGCCACGGCUAACUACGUGCCAGCCGCCGCGGUAAUAC